GACGAACGCUGGCGGCGUGCCUAAUACAUGCAAGUAGAACGCUGAAGAGAGGAGCUUGCUCUUCUUGGAUGAGUUGCGAACGGGUGAGUAACGCGUAGGUAACCUGCCUGGUAGCGGGGGAUAACUAUUGGAAACGAUAGCUAAUACCGCAUAAAAUGGAUUAUCGCAUGAUAAUCCAUUGAAAGGUGCAAAUGCAUCACUACCAGAUGGACCUGCGUUGUAUUAGCUAGUUGGUGGGGUAACGGCUCACCAAGGCGACGAUACAUAGCCGACCUGAGAGGGUGAUCGGCCACACUGGGACUGAGACACGGCCCAGACUCCUACGGGAGGCAGCAGUAGGGAAUCUUCGGCAAUGGAUGGAAGUCUGACCGAGCAACGCCGCGUGAGUGAAGAAGGUUUUCGGAUCGUAAAGCUCUGUUGUAAGAGAAGAACGAGUGUGAGAGUGGAAAGUUCACACUGUGACGGUAUCUUACCAGAAAGGGACGGCUAACUACGUGCCAGCAGCCGCGGUAAUACGUAGGUCCCGAGCGUUGUCCGGAUUUAUUGGGCGUAAAGCGAGCGCAGGCGGUUAGAUAAGUCUGAAGUUAAAGGCUGUGGCUUAACCAUAGUACGCUUUGGAAACUGUUUAACUUGAGUGCAAGAGGGGAGAGUGGAAUUCCAUGUGUAGCGGUGAAAUGCGUAGAUAUAUGGAGGAACACCGGUGGCGAAAGCGGCUCUCUGGCUUGUAACUGACGCUGAGGCUCGAAAGCGUGGGGAGCAAACAGG
rnacentral:rRNA from 1 species